ACGCUGCGGCGUGCCUAAUACAUGCAAGUAGAACGCUGAAGGAGGAGCUUGCUUCUCUGGAUGAGUUGCGAACGGGUGAGUAACGCGUAGGUAACCUGCCUGGUAGCGGGGGAUAACUAUUGGAAACGAUAGCUAAUACCGCAUAACAGUAGAUGUUGCAUGACAUUUGCUUAAAAGGUGCAAUUGCAUCACUACCAGAUGGACCUGCGUUGUAUUAGCUAGUUGGUGGGGUAACGGCUCACCAAGGCGACGAUACAUAGCCGACCUGAGAGGGUGAUCGGCCACACUGGGACUGAGACACGGCCCAGACUCCUACGGGAGGCAGCAGUAGGGAAUCUUCGGCAAUGGACGGAAGUCUGACCGAGCAACGCCGCGUGAGUGAAGAAGGUUUUCGGAUCGUAAAGCUCUGUUGUAAGAGAAGAACGAGUGUGAGGGUGGAAAGUUCACACUGUGACGGUAUCUUACCAGAAAGGGACGGCUAACUACGUGCCAGCAGCCGCGGUAAUACGUAGGUCCCGAGCGUUGUCCGGAUUUAUUGGGCGUAAAGCGAGCGCAGGCGGUUAGAUAAGUCUGAAGUUAAAGGCUGUGGCUUAACCAUAGUACGCUUUGGAAACUGUUUAACUUGAGUGCAAGAGGGGAGAGUGGAAUUCCAUGUGUAGCGGUGAAAUGCGUAGAUAUAUGGAGGAACACCGGUGGCGAAAGCGGCUCUCUGGCUUGUAACUGACGCUGAGGCUCGAAAGCGU
rnacentral:rRNA from 1 species